GGCUGGUAAGUGGGCCUAGAAUGGGUCAAUCACUUAACGGGCCAACUUCUGGAUUUUGGUUUCUGAGGAGCUUGGCAAGGAGACCCCAACCCAGCCUCACCACCAUCUUCUCCCGCCCCGUUAAGGAAGCAGUAACUUCAACACAAAUAAACCAACACAAUACCUGAUCAGGGAAAUCGCAGCAGAAUCAAUGAAUCGAAGUUGCGUGUGAAGGGAGGCCGAUUGGUUUUUCUAGCAUCGCUGAAAAGUGGAAAAUUGGAGGCGAAGGUUUCUUCACCGUUGAGAUUCUGUAUUAACUACAGGAAAUAAAAUUGUAAAUGGGAGGCACUGAAGAUAGUGAGCUUGAAGAGAAUUGUGUUUGUAACUGUGGGAACGACCUGCUUUCAUGCCCUCGCAAAGGCAGUGGAUACUUUGGCAGUUAAACAGGAAUUGUCUAGAGAGGGUACACCCACCUUGUCAUUCAAAUGGGUGGAGGAACUUUUGUGCCCACUAAGUCUAUUGGAGAAGAUGAGCCCCUAGCUGUAGAAUACUUCAAUUUUUCAUCAAGCAUUGCCGAUCAUCUGACUUCAGCAUCUCUUGUAAUUGGUCAUGCUGGUAGCUGAAGAUCACAUGCCACCGGAUCUGGAUCGGGAUGACAUGUUAUCAGUUAAUGGAUAGCAUAGUGUUGCCCUCAGUUUGACUUGGCCUUACCUGAAUUUAAUUCUCUGCCCUUCUCAGUCCAGUUAUGUAGCUGCUAUGGAUAAAGAGAGCAGCCAAAGCCACAAAGAAAAUGAUAUUUAGAGCUUGGAUACUCUAGUUGUUAUUACUCUUCAAUGAUAAUAAGUUUUAGGUAUAUGUAUCUUGAUCCAGUUACUAAGAGUAUUACUCUUAUCACAUGUAAAACUUUGGACUCAAUUAAACUAAAAUAUUUAUCUCUUUUGAGGUCAGCCAGCAUGUUGGAUUUUACACAAGCGUAGCCAACACUUCAACUUAUAAAUUGAAUUUAGAUUUCAUUGGUUAAUGAUAUGAGAUGUAACAGACAGAUUGUAGUAAAAUCUCUAAACUGGAAAUAGCUUGAAGAUGAUUAUGUUACUCAUGGUAUGAAUUUUCAAAGUGCCAUCAGAGUCUUUCUGGGGUCUACACCCAUUUAGAAGAUACAAAACAAGGGACUAGAAGUAAACAAGCCACUUCAUUUGUCACGAGAGACAGAAAGAGAGGCAUUUGUGGCCAUAAAGGUGAAAAAUGAGCUCCCAGGAAGUGAAAUUUACCUGCAAAUCCUGCAACGCAUCUUCCCAAAAACAAUCUUUCUGUAUCUCUCUCUUAUUAGUCAUAUUUUACCUGAAUGUCCAUUGCCAUUCGUGCUCAUGGAAAGUAGCGCCAGUUCAAUUGCACCUGCAGAGCCACUUAGUUUUUUUUUUUCGGUAAAUAAAAGCAGAGCCACUUGGUCUAGCCUCUGGAAAAAAUCAUUCUCAUUCACAUUGCCAUCAUAAGCAUUCUCAACCUCAUGAUAAUCCUCACCACCUCAGUUUUUCCUUCCAUUCCAUCAUCAUAAUCAUUGUUUCAAUCAUCUCCGUUAUCAUGUUGUUCGCAUUAGUUCUAGUUAUAGUCAUUCUCCGGAGAAGUAAAUCCGGAAAAGGCCACGCCAGUUGCGAUGACACUGUCAACAAGAGUGGCAGUAGUUAGUUCAUUUCUCAUACUACUAUCAACCUAGCCUCCAGUCCAGAUGUGAAGGGUGCGUGUCUAUAUGGAGGCCAUUCAAAAAGUGCAGAUUCAAAUAGAUAUAAAGGAAUACAAGUUUUCACAUACAAGGAGCUAGAAUUUGCAACUGAGAAAUUUAGUGAGGCCAAUGUGAUAAGCAAAUGGAAGGUUUGGAGCUGUGUACAAUAGCGUGUUGAAUGAUGGGACUUUGCCCGCAAUUAAGAGCUUGCAUAGCGAAGGAAAGCAAAGGCAGCGUGCAUUUAUAAUGGAGGUCAGUGAGUCUGAUUUCUAAUGGAAUUCAUGAAUGAGUUUUGACUUUUGGAUCACUGUUGUUAGUUUUGACUUGAAACUUAAAUCUGUCACAUGAGGACAUGGGUGGAAGACAACAACAUGCUCAAGAAUGUAGGUUGAUUUGCUUAGCCGCUUGCAUUCUCCUUACUUGGUGGAGCAACGAGGCUAUUGUGCUGACCAAAAUCAUGGACUCCUAAUAUCUGAAUUCAUGCCAAAUGGUACUCUGGAACAACAUUUACAUCCCGCCAGCAAUCAAUAUCAGCCAUUGGAUUGGGAGACUUGAUUGAUGAUAGCCUUCAAUGGUGCUAGAGUCCUCGAGUUCCUCCACCGGAAAGUGAUACCGUCCAUCAUCCACUGUGACUUCAAGUGCUCCAGUGUUCUCCUAUAUCAAAAUUUCCUUGCCAAAGAAGGAUCUUUCUCCUAAUAUCUGAAUUCAUGCCUAAUGGUAGAAUUUCUGAACUCCAAAGAAAUGUUUGCCAAUGCAACCAUUUUUCAGGCUCUUCCAAGGUUAACUAACAGAGAAAAAGUAGUGGAAAUGGUUGAUCUUUCUCUAAAAGGUCAAUAUUCAAAGAAGGAUCUAAUUCAGAUAGCUGCCACUGCAGCCAUGUGUGUGCAAACAGAAGCACAUUAUCGGCCUCUGAUGGCAGACAUUGCAGAGUCACUAUCCCUCUAGUUAAGAACAAUUCCAUGGUUUCAUCUGGUUCCUUAAGAUUUCAGCAUCGAACACCAAGCCUCAGACAUUCAAGCAGACCAAACGGCCCUUUGUUGAGCUGCAAAUGUUGCUGGUUGUGCAAACACUAGUCAGGCCGCAUGCUAUACAUUAUUUUUCAAGAUUAACAAUAUGUGAAAUGUAUUAUUUUUCAAGAAAUAUUAUCAUUUUUUAAUUAAAAAAA